rnacentral:lncRNA from 1 species
UUCUGUUUUUCUUUUUCUUUUUCUUUUUAAUUUUUCUUAUCCGUUUCCAUUUUUCUUUUUUUCCUCAACACAAUCAAAAUUCUAACGAUUAUUUUCCUGCCUUGCAUAAAUUAACAAAAUUAACAGAAAAAUGAGAUGGACAUAUAAAAAUAGAGGGGGACAAAUCCACCAUUUCCAUUUUAGGUGACAAACAACAAAAUUUUUAGCAUGCACAGUAUAAGAAAACUUGUACUAGUUGGCAUCAUCAAUUGCGUAUAUAGAAUUAUUCUGAAAUAUGACUGAUGACCAAAAUAUAUGCAUGCAUUAUAUGAAAUUGACCUUUGAAGGUGAUGGAAGGACUUAUAGACAAUCUUC